ACUAGCACCUCGUGGCAUGGAUUACUGACUACCUCACUGACAGGCCGCAGUAUGUCAGGCUCCAUGGCUGCUUGUCAGAUGUGGUGGUGAGUAACACUGGCACACCCCCAUUUCUGUUCACCAUCUACACCACGUACUUCUGAUUCAACUUGGGAACAUACCAUAUUCAGAAGUUCUCAGCCAUCUGGCAGCAACUGUGGUUUACUCCAUCUCCGCCAUUCUGAUCAUUGCAGCAUUUGAAGUCAUCUUGUUCAGAGCAAGGCAGGAAAUGGGCGAAGUACGCUUGGUGUUUUAACUUCACAUUGUACCCAAGGGUAAUGUGGCCACUGAAUCUGUAUGACGUCACCUCAUCAGCCGUGAAGCGAAAGCCAACUCAUUCAUCCGCAAAUGGCUUAGGCUCCCAAAAUGCCUCUCAUCAGUAAGCUCGUACGGGCGGAACGCUCUUCAUAUACCCCUAAAAUCUAUCACUCUGGGGGACAGGCAAGAGAAAGAGGGGCUAGUGAUGGAGUUUAGGGAAUCUCCAGAUGAGACAAUGACAGAUAUGCAUGCUCGUGUGGCGACAGGGAGGAAAUGGAGGGCUGCAGGAGGAGAAAGUGCAAAGGGCAUUUGGCAGGCUGCAGCACCAGGAAGUGGUAGGCAGAGUCCAGACAGGGCAGGCUGGCCUCGGAUGGGGUGACCCACCCAUCUUGUGGUCCAGAGCCAGCAAGGCAGUGGCACAAGGGGCAACAGGGAUAUUGGACGAAGUGGGAGGGGAACGUGAGCUGGGCAUACUUCUGGAAACUGGAGUCCCGACUCAGUUUCAUCAUCAGGGUGACCUACAACUCUCUGCCCUCAUCCCGCAACCUUCAACAGUGGUUUGGGACAGAACAGUUCUAUGAUCUUUGUGGGACCAUCAAUACCUCGGCGAGAGGUAAGUCAUGGUAGUCACUGGGGGAACCAACGGCGGAUCCAGUUCCUCGGGAAAGAGGAAUCGGCUGACACCACCACCAGCAGGGGCCCAGCACCCACGCUCCUGUGACCAGGGGUGGAAUGGAGAAUGGAGGUGGACCUGGGCACGGAGGUCCAUUUCACAGUGGAAAUCUGCAGCAUUACGCUGUGACCAGACAUUGUGUGGGGGGCUGCAGCCACAAAAACCCAAACAAACGUGCCUUUAUUGUGAAGAUGCCACAUCAGACACAAUGUAUUUGUUAACAAGGUUAACACUGUCUGGCUUACUCUUAACAUUUUUGUCAGCAUAUCUUUCUUAGUUUUUACUAUAGGGAAGAACUCGAGGAGAAUCAACAGCCGGUUGAAUCAUGUUGCUAGUGGCUAAGGAUUAACAAUACAUUUUGUCCUGGGUCUACCUGGGACUCUGCUGAAGACUUUCUUGAGAAGCUGGCAUUUCGCACUGGGAAAGUUCUAAAGGGUGGUGAGCCAGUCUCUCAGCAGUCUCCAAAAUGGUGUUGAACGAUUGGCAUUCUUUGUGAAACCCCCUGGACCUGAGGGCGAACAGGAGAUGCAAAUCAGAGAAACCAGAAGUGGAAAGCUGAAGAGGGUGAGGAGUCCGCCCAGCCGCACAGACUGACCUCUAAACAGAGAAGAGCGAUGGAUCGUGCAAAGAGGACGAAGAAAGUUGGCGUGCGCUAUUACAAAUUGCACAAUGUGAAAAACAAGAACAAGGAUAGAAAAGCCCCAGCAGCAGCCACAGUGGGUCAAAAGACCAAAAGACCAAAGCACUAGACAUAAAACACAACAUAGGUAAUAAAUCUUUAUUAAAUUUGGCCAAAAAGGGCCAUGUUCUUAUUGAAAAUGUAGAGUUGAUAAAAGGUGGAAUACUAACGGAGUGUUAAAUGAUCUUUAUUAGGUGGCCACUUGAUGCCUUAUCCAGACCUCGACUGUCCCUCAGAGAAAUGAUGUCUUAUCUACCUUUUCAACUUUCUUUUCCCUUCAACCCCUCAUCUGUUUUUGAAUGAUACUUCAUACAUCAUUUACAGGUGAAAUGCUCUCUUGACUUUCAAGAGAAAUGUACAGUAAUUUUUGGAACUGUACUUGACAUGAUGUUAAAGAAAAAUAAAAUAUUUGCUAAUUACACUCAGUUAAAGGGGCAGUAAGCAAUUCUAAAGCAACACAUGUUUAGUAAAAAUCAGCAAAUAUUUCCUCACCAGCUGUCGCUUUUGUGUGUGGCAAAAAAAAUCCAGGUUUUCGGCUUAGCCCAGGCUCUGUUAAUUGAAAGCAAAAAAAAUGGUGCGGACCGCACCACACAACACCGCGAGCGCAGUUUCUAAAAAUCACCCGUCGACACCUUAAGAGCCGUGCUGGCGGGUGGCGCUGCAAACCAUGGGUUUUGGCCUAUAGUGGUUAGUGCCUCGGACUCGCACAGCGAGGUCCUGGAUUCGCGGCCCAACAAAGAGAGAAAAACAAGCUUUCUCCAGAAUAGCUUACUGCCCCUUUAAGUUAACACUCAUAUAUAUACGAUAGAUGAGACAAAGGACACGUUAACAUUUUCUUCUUUCUAUUAGUUUUGUUUUGGUGUUAUGAUCUUUUCCAGCUGGGUCUGAAAAGAAAAACACAUAUACUUAUACAUAUAUCUAAACAGGCAACACAGCUAAAAGUGAUGCUUUGUCUCAAGAUAUAGACAUUUUCUUUUAUGUGUAAUUGUGAAACCUCACCUUAAGUUGCUGAUUGGUUCUCUUGAGGAACUGUAUCUCCUCAGUGUGCCUCUUUUCCUCCAACAGUCGCUUUUCCUUUUCUCUCUUCUCAGUUUCAUCACAUUUAGCUUUCUGUUCAUUCAGUUGCUUCUUCAGGUCUUGUGUCUCAUUCUCCAGAUCAGAAAUCUAGAUACAUGUGUGGAAUAAGACACCAUAUUAUAGUGACUCUUAAAGAGAAAUGGCGCUCUCUGCUGGACACUGAAAGGAAACAUUUUCUCAUUCUAAUCUCAUUUCUUAAAUUGUUUUUUAUCUCAAUCAUCAACCAAUGGCAAAAUGUUGCAAAAUUUCCAAUUUCUGGGUCAUUGUGCCUCAGUAAUUUUAAAUCAUAACAAAUAAGUCAAUGUCCUUACUUUUUUCUUCAUGUCAGUCUUGCCCUGCUCAGCCUGCAGUGCUUUCCUCAUGCCGAAAGCCACGCUGCUUUCAUACAGUGUCUGGUAGGCAGCAAUAGUCAUUUGAAUCUCAUUUCUCACCCGUAACAGCAGCAGACCCCUCUCAGCACCGUUGAUGGUCACCUGUCGGAUUAGCUCAUCUUGGAAAAAUAGAUAUGAAGAGAUAGUUUAUGUUGCUGUGGGUGGAAAAUGUG